UACGUAGGGCGCAAGCGUUGUCCGGAAUUAUUGGGCGUAAAGAGCUCGUAGGCGGCUUGUCACGUCGAUUGUGAAAGCUCGGGGCUUAACCCCGAGUCUGCAGUCGAUACGGGCUAGCUAGAGUGUGGUAGGGGAGAUCGGAAUUCCUGGUGUAGCGGUGAAAUGCGCAGAUAUCAGGAGGAACACCGGUGGCGAAGGCGGUUCUCUGGGCCUUACCUGACGCUGAGGAGCGAAAGCGUGGGGAGCGAACAGG
rnacentral:rRNA from 1 species